GCGCCGGUAGCUCAGCUGGAUAGAGUACUUGACUACGAAUCAAGGGGUCGGGGGUUCGAAUCCCUCCCGGCGCGCCA
rnacentral:tRNA from 1 species